rfam:Arthrobacter sp. A3, complete genome.
CACGUGCUCCGGGGUCGGUGUAAUUCCGAACCGGCGGUUAUAGUCCGCGACCCGCGCGCAGCAAGCUGGAAACAGUUUGCCGCGAACGGUUGAUCUGGUGAAAUUCCGGAACCGACAGUUAAAGUCUGGAUGGGAGAAGCACGAA